rnacentral:rRNA from 1 species
CCCUAGUAACUGCGAGUGAAGCGGGAAGAGCUCAAAUUUGAAAUCUGGCGGCUCCGUCGUCCGAGUUGUAACCUGGAGAAGCGUUUUCCGUGCCGGACCGUGUACAAGUCCCUUGGAACAGGGCGUCGUAGAGGGUGAGAAUCCCGUCUUUGACACGGACUCCCGGUGCUCUGUGAUGCGCUCUCGAAGAGUCGAGUUGUUUGGGAAUGCAGCUCAAAAUGGGUGGUAAAUUCCAUCUAAAGCUAAAUAUUGGCGAGAGACCGAUAGCGAACAAGUACCGUGAGGGAAAGAUGAAAAGCACUUUGGAAAGAGAGUAAAACAGUACGUGAAAUUGUUGAAAGGGAAACGCUUGAAGUCAGUCGCGUCUGCCGGGACUCAGCUCCGCUCCGCGGGGUGCACUUCCCGGCCGACGGGUCAGCAUCGGUUUUGGGGGACGGACAAAGGCGGGAGGAAGGUGGCAGCUCCGGCUGUGUUAUAGCCUCCCGUUGUACGCGCCCUCCGGGACCGAGGAAUCCGGCGCUCGCCGCCUGGGAUGCUGGCGUAAUGGCUUUAAGCGACCCGUCUUGAAACACGGACCAAGGAGUGCUACACGCUCGCGAGUGUUUGGGUGGAAAACCCGGACGCGAAAUGAAAGUGAAAGUCGAGACCCUUUGCGGGGGCACCGACGCCCGAGCCUGACGUUUUCUGAAGGCCUUGCGGUAGAGCGAGCGCGUUGCGACCCGAAAGAUGGUGAACUAUUCCUGAGGAGGGCGAAGCCAGAGGAAACUCUGGUGGAGGCUCGUAGCGGUUCUGACGUGCAAAUCGAUCGCAGGACUUGGG